UGCCAAGAGAUGGCGGAUGUGAGCAUAUCCCUUCAGUUCAGACCAUAUUUACAUAGUUUAGCUAUGACAUGGGCCUGGAGUUUUCUCUGCUCAAUUCAGGCAUAACAAUCAGCUAGACUGAAACUCAUUGUUUGCAUGCAAUUCAGAGAGGAUAAGUAGUUAAGAAGACCCAACACUGACAUCCGUCAAGGGUAUGCCAUUUCACCAUGUGACACAUAGAGUAAGCCCGUGGCAGUUUGAAAGGCAGAUGCAAUGUUCUCUGCUCUGCGAUCCCUGCUGUCAAGAGUCUGCUGUAAUUGGUACAGAUUUAGCAGAACUAUAAACCCUUAUGAAGAGGAUCACAAAAUGACUAUGAGAAUGGAACAGCUUCCUCACAAAGGCGCAAUAAAAAGACCACAUUUUUCAACAUGGGAAGGACAGUUGCCAGUCUUGGACGGAUUUCAGUUGCUCCUGGCAGCAGUCACCUCACCAGUUCAUGUUCUGCCCAGUGUUGCGUAACCUCUAAACAAGCCUCCUGACUUGAGCAGUUUCUGACCAUUUUUCACCACCACCUACACCUUCCACCCACCCUGAGCGUCAGCUACGAAGUUUGGUAAUGCCCAGCUAGUUCAUACAGGAUAAGA